UACGUAGGCAGCGAGCGUUGUUCGGAGUUACUGGGCGUAAAGCGUGCGUAGGCGGUGUCUUAAGUUUGUUGUGAAAUCUCCCGGCUUAACCGGGAGGGUGCGGCGAAUACUGAGAUGCUGGAGUGCCGGAGAGGUAAGCGGAAUUCCUGGUGUAGCGGUGAAAUGCGUAGAUAUCAGGAGGAACACCUGCGGUGUAGACGGCUUACUGGACGGUAACUGGCGCUGAGGCACGAAAGCGUGGGUAGCAAACAGG
rnacentral:rRNA from 1 species